rnacentral:rRNA from 1 species
AUGGCUAUCUACGAUACACUGUUUAGCCAACUUGAUGUGAAAUUGUCUCAGCUUCUUGUUAUAGAUCGUGAUUUCCGGGAUCCAAGUUUUGGGCUCCAGCUUCAUGAGACUGAAUUUUGUUCAAGGCUAACAGUGAAAAUUUUAUUUGUAAAAUAUGGCGAUCCCUAUAAUGGUAUUUCUGAAGCUUCUCUAUGCUUGCUUUCCUACCAACAAGCAGUAAUCCAAUCAUUGGUGCACCAGGUACUAUAUCAUCGGCCAUCCACCAGGACGAUGCUGGCAGCCAAAGAAAGCUCCUUCCCCACCGCUGACAGCCGAAACCGUUCUUGUGCUCAUCAAGAUGUCCAGUUGAGACACCUACCCAUUUCUUCUCUCUUUUUUCUCUUGAGAGGAGAGGAGAGGAUGCUAACUAGCGAAGUACUAUACUACUACAUUUCAAACCAUAAUAAGGUCCUUCGGUAA